rnacentral:rRNA from 1 species
GACGAACCGUGCGAACGUUAUUCGGAAUCACUGGGCUUAAAGGGCGCGUAGGCGGGCCGAGAAGCCAGGGGUGAAAUCCUCCAGCCCAACUGGAGAAGCGCCUUUGGAACUGGCGGCCUCGAGGGGUGCAGGGGCAUGCGGAACUCAGGGUGGAGCGGUGAAAUGCGUAGAUAUCCUGAGGAACACCGGUGGCGAAAGCGGCGUGCUGGACACCUUCUGACGCUGAGGCGCGAAAGCCAGGGGAGCGAACAGG